GUAUUUAAAAUAUUUUCUUCGUCCAUAAAAUUACCCAAAAAUAUUUUUCACUUUUCUUAAUGUUUUAUUUAAUUUUAUAUAAUUUUUAUUUUCGUAUUUUUUUAAUAUUAAUAUUUUAUUUUAAUUAUAAAAAUUACCCAAAAAUAUUUUUCACUUUUCUUAAUGUUUUAUUUAAUUUUAUAUAAUUUUUAUUUUCGUAUUUUUUUAAUAUUAAUAUUUUAUUUUAAUUAUUUAUUCUAAAUGGUCCAUUUUAACA
rnacentral:lncRNA from 1 species